UACAGAGGGGGCAAGCGUUAUUCGGAAUUACUGGGCGUAAAGGGCGCGUAGGCGGCCUUCUAAGUCGAACGUGAAAUCCCUGGGCUCAACCCAGGAACUGCGUCCGAUACUGGGAGGCUUGAAUCCGGGAGAGGGAUGCGGAAUUCCAGGUGUAGCGGUGAAAUGCGUAGAUAUCUGGAGGAACACCGGUGGCGAAGGCGGCAUCCUGGACCGGUAUUGACGCUGAGGCGCGAAAGCCAGGGGAGCAAACGGG
rnacentral:rRNA from 1 species